rnacentral:rRNA from 1 species
UUAAGCGACUAAGCGUACACGGUGGAUGCCCUGGCAGUCAGAGGCGAUGAAGGACGUGCUAAUCUGCGAUAAGCGUCGGUAAGGUGAUAUGAACCGUUAUAACCGGCGAUUUCCGAAUGGGGAAACCCAGUGUGUUUCGACACACUAUCAUUAACUGAAUCCAUAGGUUAAUGAGGCGAACCGGGGGAACUGAAACAUCUAAGUACCCCGAGGAAAAGAAAUCAACCGAGAUUCCCCCAGUAGCGGCGAGCGAACGGGGAGCAGCCCAGAGCCUGAAUCAGUGUGUGUGUUAGUGGAAGCGUCUGGAAAGGCGCGCGAUACAGGGUGACAGCCCCGUACACAAAAAUGCACAUACUGUGAGCUCGAUGAGUAGGGCGGGACACGUGGUAUCCUGUCUGAAUAUGGGGGGACCAUCCUCCAAGGCUAAAUACUCCUGACUGACCGAUAGUGAACCAGUACCGUGAGGGAAAGGCGAAAAGAACCCCGGCGAGGGGAGUGAAAAAGAACCUGAAACCGUGUACGUACAAGCAGUGGGAGCCUCUUUAUGGGGUGACUGCGUACCUUUUGUAUAAUGGGUCAGCGACUUAUAUUCUGUAGCAAGGUUAACCGAAUAGGGGAGCCGAAGGGAAACCGAGUCUUAACUGGGCGUUAAGUUGCAGGGUAUAGACCCGAAACCCGGUGAUCUAGCCAUGGGCAGGUUGAAGGUUGGGUAACACUAACUGGAGGACCGAACCGACUAAUGUUGAAAAAUUAGCGGAUGACUUGUGGCUGGGGGUGAAAGGCCAAUCAAACCGGGAGAUAGCUGGUUCUCCCCGAAAGCUAUUUAGGUAGCGCCUCGUGAAUUCAUCUCCGGGGGUAGAGCACUGUUUCGGCAAGGGGGUCAUCCCGACUUACCAACCCGAUGCAAACUGCGAAUACCGGAGAAUGUUAUCACGGGAGACACACGGCGGGUGCUAACGUCCGUCGUGAAGAGGGAAACAACCCAGACCGCCAGCUAAGGUCCCAAAGUCAUGGUUAAGUGGGAAACGAUGUGGGAAGGCCCAGACAGCCAGGAUGUUGGCUUAGAAGCAGCCAUCAUUUAAAGAAAGCGUAAUAGCUCACUGGUCGAGUCGGCCUGCGCGGAAGAUGUAACGGGGCUAAACCAUGCACCGAAGCUGCGGCAGCGACACUAUGUGUUGUUGGGUAGGGGAGCGUUCUGUAAGCCUGUGAAGGUGUGCUGUGAGGUAUGCUGGAGGUAUCAGAAGUGCGAAUGCUGACAUAAGUAACGAUAAAGCGGGUGAAAAGCCCGCUCGCCGGAAGACCAAGGGUUCCUGUCCAACGUUAAUCGGGGCAGGGUGAGUCGACCCCUAAGGCGAGGCCGAAAGGCGUAGUCGAUGGGAAACAGGUUAAUAUUCCUGUACUUGGUGUUACUGCGAAGGGGGGACGGAGAAGGCUAUGUUGGCCGGGCGACGGUUGUCCCGGUUUAAGCGUGUAGGCUGGUUUUCCAGGCAAAUCCGGAAAAUCAAGGCUGAGGCGUGAUGACGAGGCACUACGGUGCUGAAGUAACAAAUGCCCUGCUUCCAGGAAAAGCCUCUAAGCAUCAGGUAACAUCAAAUCGUACCCCAAACCGACACAGGUGGUCAGGUAGAGAAUACCAAGGCGCUUGAGAGAACUCGGGUGAAGGAACUAGGCAAAAUGGUGCCGUAACUUCGGGAGAAGGCACGCUGAUACGUAGGUGAAGUCCCUUGCGGAUGGAGCUGAAAUCAGUCGAAGAUACCAGCUGGCUGCAACUGUUUAUUAAAAACACAGCACUGUGCAAACACGAAAGUGGACGUAUACGGUGUGACGCCUGCCCGGUGCCGGAAGGUUAAUUGAUGGGGUUAGCGGUAACGCGAAGCUCUUGAUCGAAGCCCCGGUAAACGGCGGCCGUAACUAUAACGGUCCUAAGGUAGCGAAAUUCCUUGUCGGGUAAGUUCCGACCUGCACGAAUGGCGUAAUGAUGGCCAGGCUGUCUCCACCCGAGACUCAGUGAAAUUGAACUCGCUGUGAAGAUGCAGUGUACCCGCGGCAAGACGGAAAGACCCCGUGAACCUUUACUAUAGCUUGACACUGAACAUUGAGCCUUGAUGUGUAGGAUAGGUGGGAGGCUUUGAAGUGUGGACGCCAGUCUGCAUGGAGCCGACCUUGAAAUACCACCCUUUAAUGUUUGAUGUUCUAACGUUGGCCCCUGAUCGGGGUUGCGGACAGUGUCUGGUGGGUAGUUUGACUGGGGCGGUCUCCUCCUAAAGAGUAACGGAGGAGCACGAAGGUUGGCUAAUCCUGGUCGGACAUCAGGAGGUUAGUGCAAUGGCAUAAGCCAGCUUGACUGCGAGCGUGACGGCGCGAGCAGGUGCGAAAGCAGGUCAUAGUGAUCCGGUGGUUCUGAAUGGAAGGGCCAUCGCUCAACGGAUAAAAGGUACUCCGGGGAUAACAGGCUGAUACCGCCCAAGAGUUCAUAUCGACGGCGGUGUUUGGCACCUCGAUGUCGGCUCAUCACAUCCUGGGGCUGAAGUAGGUCCCAAGGGUAUGGCUGUUCGCCAUUUAAAGUGGUACGCGAGCUGGGUUUAGAACGUCGUGAGACAGUUCGGUCCCUAUCUGCCGUGGGCGCUGGAGAACUGAGGGGGGCUGCUCCUAGUACGAGAGGACCGGAGUGGACGCAUCACUGGUGUUCGGGUUGUCAUGCCAAUGGCACUGCCCGGUAGCUAAAUGCGGAAGAGAUAAGUGCUGAAAGCAUCUAAGCACGAAACUUGCCCCGAGAUGAGUUCUCCCUGACUCCUUGAGAGUCCUGAAGGAACGUUGAAGACGACGACGUUGAUAGGCCGGGUGUGUAAGCGCAGCGAUGCGUUGAGCUAACCGGUACUAAUGAACCGUGAGGCUUAACCU